GUUCCCGUAGCUCAGUGGAUAGAGCACCGGUCUCCGGAACCGGGUGCGCUGGUUCGAUUCCAGUCGGGAACA
rnacentral:tRNA from 1 species